AAUCAACAGAGAGAAGGGUUGAGAGAGGAUUCGGGAGGUGGUCGGGAGACUUAAGGUGGCUGCCGGAGAAGAUAGGUUUAUCGGAACCCUAAGAUGAUAUCUGAUCAAAUCUCGAGAUUGGUUGGGUAGAUGAUAAAAUUGACUUGGGAUUAUAGGAAAGGAAGAUGGGGAAAAUAUUUGGUGAUGAUUUGAAGUUGUUUUGAGAAGGUAGAUGGGGUGUCGGUCGCCGGAGGUAAUUUCUGGUGACCGGAGAUCAUGG
rnacentral:misc_RNA from 1 species